GAGGAGGCUUCAAAGGCCCAUGAGGAGGCCACCACAGGGCCAGCCCCAGUGCUCAGGAAACAUUUGGGGCCAGGGCCUUCCCCAGGGCCUGGUUUGAGUGACCACUGCUGCCAAAACAGGCCCAUCCACGACCCUGGGAGCCUUCACCAUCAGACUGCCUCCUCAUUCCUGGGGCCCUGCAGGGCCUUGUCCCAUUCCCCUUCACCUGGCUUGAUCCUGACCCUCAGUGUGAAAGUCAGGGUGGAUGAGGUAGAAGCCAUAGGAAAACAGGACAGUGGAUGCCAGGACAGUAAAGCAGGAUCUUACAGCCACACCCGGCAUACUGUAACCAUGACUCAGUCUUGUGUUCAUCUUAUGCAGCAAAGCUAUCGGCCUAAUUUUGCAAGGGCAGCAUUUUUUAUUAGUGGUUCCAGUGCACCAGAGGAAACAAAAUUAUAAGAGAACAUUUUAAUAUCUCCUUUUCCAAUACAAUAACUUCACUUAUUCCUAAGUAAACUGGAAAUACUCUUGGUAAGUAUAUAGAGUAUAAAUGUAAUAUGUAAUGAUGAUCUUAUGCUUCUUGUUUUAAUACUGUACAUUAGAAUAUGAACAAAACUGAGGGCAAAGGGAAUGCUAACUUUAACUAGGAGAUUGCUUUAGGCUACAGAUAUGUUUGUUUUAAGUGGGCAGAAGACUACAUGAAGCAAGUCUAUUUGAAAAAUCUUUUGUAUACCGUUUUCCUCCUCCAUCACAGGAAUUUUCAGAGAGAGAGAGAUUCCCCAUUCUUUUCUCGUAGAUGAUAUGAGAUUCAUUACAGGUAGGAAGGUUCUUUGGUGGCACCAGACUGCCUCUAAUGUGGUUUUGAGGCUACAGGAUCAAAUAAAAGUCAGUAGUCCAUCUGAUAAAAAGCUGAC
rnacentral:lncRNA from 1 species